rnacentral:rRNA from 1 species
ACCCUUCGGGAGCUUGUACAGGUGCUGCAUGGCUGUCGUCAGCUCGUGUCGUGAGAUGUUCGGUUAAGUCCGCUAACGAGCGCAACCCUCGCUGUGUGUUACAAGUGUCACACGGAACUGCCGGUCAUAAACCGGAGGAAGGUGGGAUGACGUCAAGUCAGCAUGGCCUUUAUAUCCUGGGCUACACACACGCUACAAUGGGAAGGGACAAUAGGUUGCGAAGCCGCGAGGCGGAGCCAAUCCAGCAAAACUUCCCUCAGUUCAGAUUGCAGGCUGCAACUCGCCUGCAUGAAGUUGGAGUUGCUAGUAAACGCAGGUCAGCCAUACUGCGUUGAAUACGUUCCCGGGGCUU